GACGAACGCUGGUGGCGUGCCUAAUACAUGCAAGUCGAGCGAGACUCUUCGGAGUCUAGCGGCGGACGGGUGAGUAACACGUGGGCAACCUGCCUGUAAGACUGGGAUAACACCGGGAAACCGGUGCUAAUACCGGAUAAUCCUUUUCCUCUCAUGAGGAAAAGCUGAAAGUCGGUUUCGGCUGACACUUACAGAUGGGCCCGCGGCGCAUUAGCUAGUUGGUGAGGUAACGGCUCACCAAGGCGACGAUGCGUAGCCGACCUGUGAGGGUGAUCGGCCACACUGGGACUGAGACACGGCCCAGACUCCUACGGGAGGCAGCAGUAGGGAAUCUUCCACAAUGGACGAAAGUCCGAUGGAGCAACGCCGCGUGAGCGAUGAAGGCCUUCGGGUCGUAAAGCUCUGUUGUUAGGGAAGAACAAGUACCGGAGUAACUGCCGGUACCUUGACGGUACCUAACCAGAAAGCCACGGCUAACUACGUGCCAGCCGCCGCGGUAAGAC
rnacentral:rRNA from 1 species